UGGGGUGUAGCCAAGUGGUAAGGCAGCGGGUUUUGAUCCCGUCAUUCGCAGGUUCGAAUCCUGCCACCCCAGCCA
rnacentral:tRNA from 1 species